rnacentral:rRNA from 1 species
GGAGCCUACGGGACGCAGCAGUGAGGAAUAUUGGUCAAUGGGCGCGAGCCUGAACCAGCCAAGUCGCGUGAGGGAAGACGGUCCUAUGGAUUGUAAACCUCUUUUGUCGGGGAGCAAAAGACGCCACGCGUGGCGUUCCGAGAGUACCCGAAGAAAAAGCAUCGGCUAACUCCGUGCCAGCAGCCGCGGUAAUACUGAGGAUGCGAGCGUUAUCCGGAUUUAUUGGGUUUAAAGGGAGCGCAGGCGGAAGAUCAAGUCAGCGGUAAAAUUGAGAGGCUCAACCUCUUCGAGCCGUUGAAACUGGG